GAUCCUGGCUCAGGAUGAACGCUGGCGGCGUGCCUAACACAUGCAAGUCGAACGGAGUCGUUUUGGAAAAUCCCUCGAGAUUGGAAUUCUCGACUUAGUGGCGGACGGGUGAGUAACGCGUGAGCAAUCUGCCUUUAAGAGGGGGGAUAACAGUCGGAAACGGCUGCUAAUACCGCAUAAAGCAUCGAAACCGCAUGAUUUUGAUGCCAAAGGAGCAAUCCGCUUUUA
rnacentral:rRNA from 1 species